UUGCCCUGGCCUACGCUCUCUCUGCUCCCCUGCUCUCUGGGGAGUCUGGCAGGACACACAGCAAUCUCCCUCUCAGUUUAAGAGGGCUGCCCUGAGUACAGUAUAGAGUUGGCUCUUAAAGGCACAAGAGGACAAU